GCCUUAGUGGUGUAACGGCUCGCACGGAGGACUGUGGAUCCUUUAGACCGGGUUCGACUCCCGGCUAAGGCC
rnacentral:tRNA from 1 species